rnacentral:tRNA from 2 species
GGGCCUGUAGCUCAGUCGGUAGAGCAGGCGGCUCUUAACCGCAAGGUCCAGGGUUCGAAUCCCUGCAGGCCCG